rnacentral:rRNA from 1 species
GACGUAGGGUGCGAGCGUUGCCCGGAUUUAUUGGGCGUAAAGGGCGCGUAGGCGGCCACGCACGUCCGUUGUGAAAUCGCCCGGCUCAACUGGGCGGGGUCGGCGGAUACGGCGUGGCUGGAGCAAGCUAGGGGGCAAUGGAAUUCCCGGUGUAGUGGUGGAAUGCGUAGAUAUCGGGAGGAACACCAGUGGCGAAGGCGGUUGCCUGGAGCUUUGCUGACGCUGAGGCGCGAAAGCGUGGGGAGCGAUCCGG